GAAUACUCUCUUGGAACACUGAGCUGCUGUUGUAAGAAAUCCUAUUACCCUAAGGAUGCCAUGCUGUGAGGAGCCCAAGGUGAGGUGAGAGAGAUGGUAGAGAGAGGCAGGCCAAGGACUCCAAGUGCCAAACCUAUGAGUGAAGAAGCCAUCUUGAAGACAGACCACCUAGCCCCAGCAGACUCCAUGCAGAUCGGAGAUAAACCAGGCAGCUGAGCUCCUCAUGAAUUAUUGAGACACACAUAUUGUAAGCAAGAUAAAAGGAGGAUUGGUACUCAACUUUGUAAGGAUGAUGUGGGUGCCCUUAUCAGCAGAGCACUGGAGAUUUGAAACAAAUCACCUAAACAUGAGAAAGGACCACAAGGAGAGUGCAUGAGCUUGGGAAGAGGAGAGAGAGGCUAUACUUCACCCUGCCCAAGACUUCAGUGAAAUCAGAGGAAGACUUUUACACCAUAAAAUUACAAUAAAAUAACUGAGGAAAAAGCAUGGUUUCAACUGAAGCCGUUCAAAGACAAAAGCAGGACACCACAGAAUAUAUGGUUGUGUCCCAGCCAAGAUAGCUGAUUAGUGAGUCAAGACCCUUCAGCUCUUGAAUGGACCUCAGAUCUGGAUGGUUGUCAAAUGGCCAUACAUAAAUGAUGAAUGCAAUGACACGCUGGAGAUUACAACUCGGAACUACCAGCCUAGAAAGGACAAGCAAGAAUGGUUGAGAAAAUCAUAGAGACAUAAAAAAAGAGGAAGAACCUGCAUAUAAGAGAGAAGAUACUGUCUGACUUUAUAAAUAGAUAUUGGAAAUGAGAGAAAUUGAAACCAACCAGGAUCCUGAAGAUGCUCUUCCCAGAUGGGACACACUUACCACAAAAUGCAAAUGGAAAUGGAUCUUAGCAGCUCCAAUGGAGUAGAGUGGGUGCUGUUGUGAGCUGCUCAGAAUCCCUACCUCCCGUCUCAUUUCAGGAAUGAGACAUUCAUAUCUUUGGUGCUUGAUGCAUUGGUUGCUGCUGGCUCAUUUCUGGGUCUCUCUGGAAAUCAUCUUUGGCCAAAGGGAGUCAUCUUUCCCAAGUUUAUAACUUCUUCUCAGGGGCAACUUGUGUCCAGUGAUAAAAGCCCAGUUUUGUUGUCUCAAUUUGGGACAUUCUUGAAGAUCAUCUCAACUCCAAAAAUCCUUGUGAGAUCAGCUGGCUGCUCUGUUGCAACUGUAUCACUGUAUCUCCUUCUGCCUAAUCCUUUCACAUCCUGAAAUGUGUUCCUUAGAUUAUUCUCCAGUAAACCUGC